GCCCCCGUCGUCUAGCCAGGUCAGGACGUCGCCCUUUCAAGGCGCAAACACGGGUUCGAAUCCCGUCGGGGGUACCA
rnacentral:tRNA from 1 species